rnacentral:rRNA from 1 species
GACGAACGCUGGCGGCGUGCCUAAUACAUGCAAGUAGAACGCUGAAGCGAGGAGCUUGCUCUUCUUGGAUGAGUUGCGAACGGGUGAGUAACGCGUAGGUAACCUGCCUUGUAGCGGGGGAUAACUAUUGGAAACGAUAGCUAAUACCGCAUAACAAUGGAUGAAACAUGUCAUUUAUUUGAAAGGGGCAAUUGCUCCACUACAAGAUGGACCUGCGUUGUAUUAGCUAGUAGGUGAGGUAAUGGCUCACCUAGGCGACGAUACAUAGCCGACCUGAGAGGGUGGUCGGCCACACUGGGACUGGGACACGGCCCAGACUCCUACGGGAGGCAGCAGUAGGGAAUCUUCGGCAAUGGGGGCAACGCUGACCGAGCAACGCCGCGUGAGUGAAGAAGGUUGUCGGAUCGUAAAGCUCUGUUGUAAGUCAAGAACGGGUGUGAGAGUGGAAAGUUCACACUGUGACGGUAGCUUACCAGAAAGGGACGGCUAACUACGUG